GACGAACGCUGGCGGCGUGCUUAACACAUGCAAGUCGAACGGAAAGGCCCUGCUUUUGUGGGGUGCUCGAGUGGCGAACGGGUGAGUAACACGUGAGUAACCUGCCCUUGACUUUGGGAUAACUUCAGGAAACUGGGGCUAAUACCGGAUAGGAGCUCCUGCUGCAUGGUGGGGGUUGGAAAGUUUCGGCGGUUGGGGAUGGACUCGCGGCUUAUCAGCUUGUUGGUGGGGUAGUGGCUUACCAAGGCUUUGACGGGUAGCCAGCCUGAGAGGGUGACCGGCCACAUUGGAACUGAGAUACGGCCCAGACUCCUACGGGAGGCAGCAGUGGGGAAUAUUGCACAAUGGGCGGAAGCCUGAUGCAGCAACGCCGCGUGCGGGAUGACGGCCUUCGGGUUGUAAACCGCUUUCGCCUGUGACGAAGCGUGAGUGACGGUAAUGGGUAAAGAAGCACCGGCUAACUACGUG
rnacentral:rRNA from 1 species